rnacentral:rRNA from 1 species
UACAGAGGUCUCAAGCGUUAAUCGGAAUUACUGGGCGUAAAGCGCGCGCAGGCGGUCUUCCAAGUCAGUGGUGAAAGCCCGGAGCUCAACUCCGGAACUGCCAUUGAAACUGUAAGACUUGAGGAUGAGAGAGGUGAGUGGAAUUCCCAGUGUAGAGGUGAAAUUCGUAGAUAUUGGGAAGAACACCGGUGGCGAAGGCGGCUCACUGGCUCAUAUCUGACGCUCAGGCGCGACAGCGUGGGGAUCAAACAGG